GCUGGACAUGGUGACAUGUGCCUGUAGUCCCAGCUACUCAGGAGGCUGAGGCUGAAUGAUCGCUUGAGUCCAGGAGUUCUGGGCUAUAGUGAGCCAUCCUGAUUGGAUGUCUGAACUAAGUUCAGCACCAAUAUGGUGACGUCCCAGGAGUGGGAGACCACCAGGCUGCCUAUGGAGGGGUGAACCAGCCCAGAUCCGAAAUGGGGCAGGCCAAAACUCCUGAUCAGUAGCAGGCUCGCAACUGUAAACAGUCACUGCACUCCAGCCUGAGCAACGUAGCAAAAACCCAUCUCU
rnacentral:SRP_RNA from 1 species